rnacentral:rRNA from 1 species
AUUGAACGCUGGCGGCAUGCCUUACACAUGCAAGUCGAACGGCAGCACGGGUGCUUGCACCUGGUGGCGAGUGGCGAACGGGUGAGUAAUACAUCGGAACAUGUCCUGUAGUGGGGGAUAGCCCGGCGAAAGCCGGAUUAAUACCGCAUACGAUCCACGGAUGAAAGCGGGGGACCUUCGGGCCUCGCGCUAUAGGGUUGGCCGAUGGCUGAUUAGCUAGUUGGUGGGGUAAAGGCCUACCAAGGCGACGAUCAGUAGCUGGUCUGAGAGGACGACCAGCCACACGGGGCCUGAGCCCCGCCCCAGACCCCUCGGGGGGGCAGGGGUGGGAAUUUUUGGAAAAGGGGCGAAAGCCUGAUCCAGCAAUGCCGCGUGGGUGAAGAAGGCCUUCGGGUUGUAAAGCACUUUUGUCCGGAAAAAAAUCCUUGCCUUUAAAACAGUGGGGGGAGGGCGGUACCGGAAAAAAAAGCCCCGGCUAACUCCGU